CGGAGGCUACCGCUAUUGGAGUUCGAUUAAGCCAUGCGAGUCUAGAGGCCUAGCCUCGGCGUACCGCUCAGUAACACGUGGGUAACCUACCCUAUGCUGGGGGAUAAGCUCGGGAAACUGAGAAUAAUACCCCAUAGUCCACUACGCCUGGAACGGUGAGUGGAUCAAAGCUCCGGCGGCAUAGGAUGGGCCUGCGGCGUAUCAGGUUGUAGGGGGUGUAACGUACCCUCUAGCCAUCCACGCGUACGGGUGUUGGGAGACAUUGCCCGGAGAUGGAUUCUGAGACACGAAUCCAGACCCUACGGGGUGCAGCAGGCGCGAAAACUUGGCAAUGCGAGAAAUCGUGACCAGGGAACUCCAAGUGGCAGGGGUAAGACCCUGUCUUUUUCCGACUCUAAAUAGGUCGGCGAAUAAGGGGUGGGUAAGGACGGUGCCAGCCGCCGCGGUAAUACCGGCGCCUCAAGUGGUAGUCGCUUUUAUUGGGCCUAAAACGUCCGUAGCCGGUCUGGUACAUUCGUGGGUAAAUCAACUCGCUUAACGAGUUGAAUUCUGCGAGGACGGCCAGACUUGGGACCGGGAGAGGUGUGGGGUACUCUCAGGGUAGGGGUAAAAUCCUGUCAUCCUGAGAGGACCACCUGUUGCGAAGGCUCCACACUAGAACGGAUCCGACGGUCAGGGACGAAGCCUAGGGGCACGAACCGGAUUAGAUACCCGGGUAGUCCUAGGUGUAAACGUUGUGGACUUGAUGUUGGGGACGCUCCGAGCGUUCUCAGUGUCGAAGCGAAGGUGAUAAGUCCACUGCCUGGGGAGUACGGUCGCAAGGCUGAAACUUAAAGGAAUUGGCGGGG
rnacentral:rRNA from 1 species